CCUUCACCUUUUCAUCGAGGGUAGUAGUGUUGUGGCGAACAAAUUUAUAAAGAGAGUGCUUAACGGCGACUCUCGCAAGCUUUUCAGUGCUAACAUUAGCAGAGCGGAGGAGAGAGAGUUGCCCAGGGUCAAGUUCAGGGUAAGUCAAAUAAACAAAAUUCGAUAUAGCUAAGCCAAGAGCAGCAUCGCCGACGAACUCAAGGCGUUGAUACGACGGAGAAUCGGUGCAGGAAGAGUGCGUAAGAGCUUGUUCGAGAAGUUUCUUAUUCUUAAAAUUGUAGUCUAAAAUCUCCUCAACUGCCCUUAUGGAUGCCGCCAUAUCUGUGAUGAUAUAGUCAUCGUCGGGAAUUAAUGCGAUGCUCUUAUUGAUUGGAUUUGUCAGAAUGACGCAAGAUUCCGGUGACUCCAUCAUAAUCCGGUGGGUCAGCG
rnacentral:misc_RNA from 1 species